rnacentral:rRNA from 1 species
UACGUAGGGUGCGAGCGUUAAUCGGAAUUACUGGGCGUAAAGUGUGCGCAGGCGGCAGAGCAAGUCGAGUGUGAAAGCCCCGGGCUUAACUUGGGAAUUGCGCUCGAAACUACUUUGCUGGAGUGUGGCAGAGGAAGGUGGAAUUCCACGUGUAGCGGUGAAAUGCGUAGAGAUGUGGAGGAACACCAAUGGCGAGGGCAGCCAUUCUGGGCCAACACUGACGCUCAUGCACGAAAGCGUGGGGAGCAA